GCCGCAUCCAACUUGUUUUGUUAGAACUCCCAGCAUCACAGCGAUGGCAGCUCUCUUAGAUUCCCCAUACAUCCACGACCUAUAUCAUGUCCAAUAAAUCGUCCACAUCACCACCUUCUUCAAAUACAGCUGCUGUGUCUCCACUUGGUUUGUCUUUGGGGGCCAGAAACUUUUUGGCUUCCUCAGCUGUGACAGAACUUCCAGAGGCUUCCUCUUUGGUGAUCAGAGUAAUUCCAUCCUGGA
rnacentral:misc_RNA from 1 species